rnacentral:rRNA from 1 species
AUUGAACGCUGGCGGAAUGCUUUACACACGCAAGUCGAACGGUAGAGGGGGCAACCCCUCGAGAGUGGCGAACGGGUGAGUAAUAUAUCGGAACGUGCCCAGUCGUGGGGGAUAACGUAGCGAAAGUUACGCUAAUACCGCAUACGAUCUAAGGAUGAAAGCGGGGGAUCGCAAGACCUCGCGCGAUUGGAGCGGCCGAUAUCAGAUUAGGUAGUUGGUGGGGUAAAGGCUCACCAAGCCAACGAUCUGUAGCUGGUCUGAGAGGACGACCAGCCACACUGGAACUGAGACACGGUCCAGACUCCUACAGGAGGCAGCAGUGGGGAAUUUUGGACAAUGGACGCAAGUCUGAUUCAGCCAUUCCGCGUGCAGGAUGAAGGCCCUCGGGUUGUAAACUGCUUUUGUACGGAACGAAAAGGUCUCUCUUAAUACGGGGGACUCAUGACGGUACCGUAAGAAUAAGCACCGGCUAACUACGUGCCAGCAGCCGCAGUAA